CUCCUCGAUUCAGCGGCGGACGGGUGAGUAAUGCCUAGGAAUCUGCCCAGUAGUGGGGGACAACGUUUCGAAAGGAACGCUAAUACCGCAUACGUCCUACGGGAGAAAGUGGGGGAUCUUCGGACCUCACGCUAUUGGAUGAGCCUAGGUCGGAUUAGCUAGUUGGUAGGGUAAAGGCCUACCAAGGCGACGAUCCGUAACUGGUCUGAGAGGAUGAUCAGUCACACUGGAACUGAGACACGGUCCAGACUCCUACGGGAGGCAGCAGUGGGGAAUAUUGGACAAUGGGCGAAAGCCUGAUCCAGCCAUGCCGCGUGUGUGAAGAAGGCCCUCGGGUCGUAAAGCACUUUAAGUUGGGAGGAAGGGCUUACAGCGAAUACCUGUGAGUUUUGACGUUACCAACAGAAUAAGCACCGGCUAACUUCGUGCCAGCAGCCGCGGUAAUACGAAGGGUGCAAGCGUUAAUCGGAAUUACUGGGCGUAAAGCGCGCGUAGGUGGCUUGAUAAGUUGGAUGUGAAAUCCCCGGGCUCAACCUGGGAACUGCAUCCAAAACUGUCUGGCUAGAGUGCGGUAGAGGGUAGUGGAAUUUCCAGUGUAGCGGUGAAAUGCGUAGAUAUUGGAAGGAACACCAGUGGCGAAGGCGACUACCUGGACUGACACUGACACUGAGGUGCGAAAGCGUGGGGAGC
rnacentral:rRNA from 1 species